rnacentral:rRNA from 1 species
UACAGAGGGGCAAGCGUUGUUCGGAAUUACUGGGCGUAAAGGGCGCGUAGGCGGCCUGCUAAGUCGAACGUGAAAUCCCUGGGCUCAACCCAGGAACUGCGUCCGAUACUGGUUGGCUUGAAUCCGGGAGAGGGAUGUGGAAUUCCAGGUGUAGCGGUGAAAUGCGUAGAUAUCUGGAGGAACACCGGUGGCGAAGGCGACAUCCUGGACCGGUAUUGACGCGUGAGGCGCGAAAGGCCAGGGGAGCAAAGCGGG